rnacentral:rRNA from 1 species
GUCCACGCCGUAAACGAUGUCAAUUAGGAGCUUGGGCAAUAGUCUGGGUUCCGCAGCUAACGCAAUAAAUUGACCGCCUGGGGGAGUACGGCCGCAAGGUUAAAACUCAAAUGAAUUGACGGGGGCCCGCACAAGCGGUGGAGCAUGUGGUUUAAUUCGACGCAACGCGAAGAACCUUACCUGAUCUUGACAUCGUAAGAACCUCACUGAAGGGUGAGGGUGCCUUCGGGAACUUACAGACAGGUGCUGCAUGGCUGUCGU